rnacentral:rRNA from 1 species
AGUGAACGCUGGCGGUAGGCCUAACACAUGCAAGUUGAACGGCAGCACAGGAGAGCUUGCUCUCUGGGUGGCGAGUGGCGGACGGGUGAGGAAUACAUCGGAAUCUACUUUUUCGUGGGGGAUAACGUAGGGAAACUUACGCUAAUACCGCAUACGACGUACGGGUGAAAGCAGGGGACCUUCGGGCCUUGCGCGAUUGAAUGAGCCGAUGUCGGAUGAGAUGGUUGGCGGGGUAAAGGCCAACCAAGGCGACGAUCCGUAGCUGGGCUGAGAGGAUGAUCAGCCACACUGGAACUGAGACACGGUCCAGACGCCUACGGGAGGCAGCAGUGGGGAAUAUUGGACAAUGGGCGCAAGCCUGAUCCAGCCAUACCGCGUGGGUGAAGAAGGCCUUCGGGUUGUAAAGCCCUUUUGUUGGGAAAGAAAUCCAGCUGGCUAAUACCCGGUUGGGAUGACGGUACCCAAAGAAUAAGCACCGGCUAACUUCGUGCCAGCCGCCGCAGUAA